rnacentral:rRNA from 1 species
UUCUAGAGCUAAUACAUGCUAAAAAUCCCGACUUUGGAAGGGAUGUAUUUAUUAGAUUAAAAACCAAUGCCCUUCGGGGCUCUCUGGUGAUUCAUGAUAACUUCUCGAAUCGCAUGGCCUUGCGCCGGCGAUGGUUCAUUCAAAUUUCUUCCCUAUCAACUUUCGAUGUUUGGGUAUUGGCCAAACAUGGUUGCAACGGGUAACGGAGGGUUAGGGCUCGACCCCGGAGAAGGAGCCUGAGAAACGGCUACUACAUCCAAGGAAGGCAGCAGGCGCGCAAAUUACCCAAUCCCGACACGGGGAGGUAGUGACAAUAAAUACUGAUACAGGGCUCUUUUGGGUCUUGUAAUUGGAAUGAGUACAAUUUAAACCCCUUAACGAGGAACAAUUGGAGGGCAAGUCUGGUGCCAGCAGCCGCGGUAAUUCCAGCUCCAAUAGCGUAUAUUAAAGUUGUUGUGGUUAAAAAGCUCGUAGUUGAACCUUGGGCCUGGCUGGCCGGUCCGCCUCACCGCGUGUACUGGUCCGGCCGGGCCUUUCCCUCUGUGGAACCCCAUGCCCUUCACUGGGUGUGGUGGGGAAACAGGACUUUUACUUUGAAAAAAUUAGAGUGCUCCAGGCAGGCCUAUGCUCGAAUACAUUAGCAUGGAAUAAUAGAAUAGGACGUGUGGUUCUAUUUUGUUGGUUUCUAGGACCGCCGUAAUGAUUAAUAGGGACAGUCGGGGGCAUCAGUAUUCAAUUGUCAGAGGUGAAAUUCUUGGAUUUAUUGAAGACUAACUACUGCGAAAGCAUUUGCCAAGGAUGUUUU